GAUGCUGAGUUUUCCGACAUUAGAUUAAAUUUUCCCGUCACAUAGAAAGUCCCAUCAAUUCAACAAAGGCAGGCAGAGCCCAUACCCCUUAUAACUAAUGUUUUUGAACUUUGCGCAAGAAGAUCUUGAAUAUAAUUCAUAUUGUAUCGAUCGCACCGCUCAAGAGGAGUGAAGAUGAGGUUGAAUUCUAGGGUUAGGGUUAGGGUUUGUUUUCCCAUCACAAGAGAAAAUCAAUUGAAGUAUUAUGACAAACCACUCGUUACUCAGAGAACUGAAAAUAUUUCUGCUACAAGGCGACUCCGAAAGGAUUUUGAACAAUGUCUCUGCCUCUGCGGUAACACAUAAGAGUACUGUUGAACACAUCAAAAGAUUGUAGAAGCAGUUUAAUGAUUAAUGUUAUCAGAUUUCUACAUUCAUGCCUAUAUACACUUGUUAUUUCUCGAUUUAAUUGUGUAUGAGAUUUUUAUCAAAUUCACAAUCAAAUCGAUAAAUAGUAAGUUAAUGUAGCAGGCUGAUGAUUUUCGCAUUAAGCGAUGGCAAGUUUAUUUCCUUGGCUGAACUUAAUUAAGUGAUAGAUUCAUUUGCUCCCAGAACCGAACACAGAAAGGGCUAAUAUUUCGACAUUCUUUUGGUGAUAUGGAGAAUUUCAGAGCAGAAACUCUAAAAGGGCUUCGCUGGCAUAGCGCACCAGAAAGAGUGACAGGUUGCCUUAGCUUAUGAAGAAGUUGGCCUAGGCACUCCUUACGUUGUGAAGAUAAUAUCGUCAGCUGCUGAAUCGAAUUUCGAAUGUUGUGGGGUGAAGAAAAUUGUGUUGUAUCUUGCACGUUCGUUCACCUGCUGAAGAAAUUUUUUCCAUGUACCUGCUGUAUUCCCCGUCUUCAGUUACUAGAAUUUUGAAGUCUGGUUUAACGCAUGAAGGGAAAUGCAAGGUCUGUUCUCAAUGACCCCUUUGGGGUAUAUGCCUGUAGACCCCUUCUACCCAGAGGAGAAUAUAGAAUGGAUUGAUGUCUCAUCCAAGUUAACUGGACGGCUUUUACUAAAUUAAGAUUUGUGAUAAAUCAAAUUUCAAUUUCAGUUUUAGAUGCAUCUCAUGGCAUGACAUUUUAUCACCUCGCUUUUGCAACAUGGUUUGAUUAUUAAUUCUGCAUUUCCUACGGAUGAUUCUGCAACACGAUCUU